CAAAUGUAUUACUACUGCUAUGUAAUAGCACGUUAUAAUAUCUAAAUAACAUGUCAUAACAUGCUAGGUAACAAAUACGUCAAGGUAUUAUCACGUUUGAUAAAGGUUUUAUGUGUUAUUUUUUGUGUCAAACCGCGUGGGUGAACGUGAUAACUUGUCACAUAUCGACUUUAGGUUAGUCUGAGUGAAUGUAUAUCUUUUCGUCAAGAUUAAGUCUGAGGCCGGUAACAUCAACAGUGAGGACAAACCCAACCUGCCUCUCUCCUUCCACAAGGAGCCUACAGUCACUGGGUCCUGAUUGUGACAGUGGAGCCCAGUUUGCACUGCAGGAUCCAGAGAUGACAUCAGUGAAGCUGGAAGACUGCAGUCAAACACUGGAGCUGAAUGUCAACAUUAAAGAUGAAGAAGAGGAGGAGAAGAUUGGGAAAUCUGUUAAUCAAGGACGACUAGAAUUAUGUCUGAGGCCGGUAACAUCAACAGUGAGGACAAACCCAGCCUGCCUGUCUCAUUCCACACUGAGUCAAACCUACAGUCACUGGGUCCUGAUUAUGACAAUGGAGCCCAGUUUUCUCUGCAGGAUCCAGAGAUGGCAUCAGUGAAGCUGGAAGACUGCAGUCAAACACUGGAGCUGAAUGUCAACAUUAAAGAUGAAGAAGAGGAGGAGAAGAUUAGGAAAUCUGUUUCUCAUGGAGACCAUGUUGAGACAUUCUCUACAUCCAGAGAGAAACAGCAGGAAGAUCACAGAGCUAAGAGGUCUCACCACUGUCCACAUUGUGAGGAGAUUUUCCCAAUUCUAUCAAAGCUAAAAAUACACUUAAAAAUACACACAGGAGAAAAUCUUUAUUCCUGCGCUGACUGUGGAAAAUGCUUCACAACGUCAACUGAGCUAAAAGUUCAUCAGAGAACACACACGGGAGAAAAGCUUUACUCCUGCUCUGAUUGUGGGGUGAGUUUCUCUCGACUGGGCCACUUAAAAAGACAUGAACAUAUACAUACAGGAGAGAAGCGUUACUCCUGCUCUGACUGUGGGAAGAGUUUUUCUCGACUGGACCUCUUAAAAAAGCAUGAUCUUAUACAUACAGGAGA